UGGUUUUUUUUCUUUCCCUUUUUAAAGGUAAAAUUGCACCAUCCUGGAAAUAGUUAUCUCAGGGUAUUAGGAAUUAUUUUUUAAAACAUUCACCUCUCAAAAUUCCUUCACUGGGCCUGGCAGCUCACACCAUGACUGUAUUUCUCUUUAGAGCUGCAUUUUCAAUACAUUUUAUUGAUGUAUAUUUGAUUUACAAUUUUGUGUUAGUUUCAGGUGUACAGCAGGGUGAUUCAGUAUAUAUAUAUUUUUUUUCUUUUUCAGAUUCUUUUCCACUGUAGGUUAUUACAAGAAAUUGAAUAUAGUUCCUUGUGAUAUACAAACAUUGUAAAGCUGAUAGAAAGAAAACAAGCAGGAGGGAAUUCUCCUAAACUCAUUCUAUGAAGCCACCAUCAGUCUGAUACCAAAAACAGGCAAAGACACCACCAAGAAAGAGAAUUAAAGACCAAUAUCACAGAAGAACAUAGAUGCAAAAAAUCCUCAAGGAAAUACUACCAAAUAGAAUGCAACAGCACAUAAAAAAAGAUCAUACAUUAUGAUCAAUUUGGGUUCAUCCCAGGGACACAAGUGUGGUUCAACACAUAGAAAUCAAUGUAAUAAUUCACAACAACAAGAGAAAGGACUAAAACCACAUGAUAAUCUCAAUAGAUGCAGAAAACACACUUAAUAAAAUUCAACGGAGAACUAUAAAACAUUGAUGAAGGAAAUUAAAGAAGUUUCUAAAAAAUGGAAAGAUACCCCAUGCUCCUGGAUUGGAAAAAUCAAUAUUGUUGAAAUGGUCAUACUGCCCAAAGCAAUGUACAGAUUUAAUGUGAUCUCUAUCAGAUUACACAGGACUUUUUUUUUUUAAAUAGAAUUUGAACAAAUAAUCUUAAAUUUAUAUGGAACCACAAAAGACCCAGAAUUGCCAAAGCAAAAAUGAAGAAAAAGAAUGAAGCUGGAGAAAUAACCCUCCCAGACUUCAGACAACACUACAGAACUACAGUCAUCAGGACAGAAUGUUAUUGACAUAAACACAGGCUUAUGGAUCAAUGGAACAGACUAGAAAGCCCAAAAAUAAACCCACAGACCUACAGUCAAUUAGUCUUUGACAAAGAUAGGCAAGAAAAUACAGUGAUUAAAGACAGUCUCUUCAGCAAAUGGUGUUGGGAACACCGGACAGCAACAUGCAAAUCAAUGAAGUUCGAACUCCCACACGCCAUACACAAAAAUAAACUCAAAAUGUCUUAAAGAAUUAAAUAUAAGGCAAGACACUGUAAAUCUCCUAGAAGAAAACAUAGACAAAAUAUUCUCUGACAUAAAUCUUAGCAAUGUCCUCAUAGGGCAGUCUACCCAAGCAAUAGAACACCUAGAAACCUCUUCAUUCCACGAUUCCACAGUGUUCAAAACAGUAAUUCACUUGUGCAGCUGGGUAAUAAGCCACAGCUGCCAGACCACUGGACUUUUCUAGAUUUCUUGUAAUGUCAAAGAAAUCCAGAAAAGUCAUUUGCUAUUUGAAGAAAUCUUUGUUAUCUCAUUUUACAGUUAAAAUUUUUUAUUCCAUUUUUCUAAAAUUCAAAACUUCUGAUUAUAUUAAUGCAUAAUCAUACAGACACACUUGUCAGGUGUACAGACUACACUUUUUUCUUAUCAUUAUAAACAAAGUUCAAUUAAUCAAGAAGUUACAAUGAAUUACAAAUUAUGUCCUAGGACAUGAAGCAGAUACAAAACAUGUGAAAAAGAGCAAUCUUUAUGAUAAUUUGGAAUCUAGCUGGAGACAUAAGUACUAUGUUGUGCCAUCAAACAAUUACUUGGUUUUGUGUUAUAUUCCAGAUAUAUAAAGGAAGUACCAAGAGAAGAAAUCUUGUGUGACUUGAAACAUUACAUAGCUUUGCACCUGAAGGACACUCAGUAAAAACUAAAUGAGGGAACAAAUGAAUGAACAAGAAAAACCAGCAUAGCUGUGCAGAUACAUAGGCUUGAGCAGGGUUUUCAACAACCAGCAACACAAAAUCUGCUCCUCGCCAAAGAAAAGCCCUCAAGUCUAAAUACACACCUGAAAUAUUUCAUUGAGUCUAAAGGCACAUAUCUGUUUUCAUGUCUCAGCUUCUCAGAAAUUGAUGAGAUGCCAUAAUUUAAAGUGGGGCAUUUUUUCUUUCUAAUAGUUAAAAUAAAUGUGUAUCUCAAGCAUCUUAAAUUUGAUCAAACAUAUUGAUUGACUCUAAACAAAUGUUAUUGUAUGUAAUAUGAUUUCAAAAUUAAUCACUUAAUACAUGUAAAUUUAUAUACCUUAUUAUAACUUUUAUUAUACAUAACAGCUCAAAAACUUAACGAAAGCCAAUGAAAAAUUGUGAUGUCAAAUCCUGUAAGAUCUAAUUCUUAAAGUUUCAAAACAUAAAACAACAAAAUUACAACCACUACAAACUCAUACAGCACAUCUUAAAAUCUAGAGCAUGCAGAAUCUGCAAUGUUACUGCAAACGGUGCUGUGAGGUAAAUAACUGCAGAUACUGUAAACAAACCUGUUAUAGAAAUACGGAAGAUAUUCUUCCCAUUUUACACUAAAAGGUGGAAAGCUGGGGAAAAGAAAAUAAUUUUUGUUGCUAUAAUUUUAUCUAUAAAUAAAAGAAUAAAAUACUGAC